rnacentral:snoRNA from 1 species
CCUGUAUGAUGAGAAGGAAAUACUGACUGAAUGUGAAGGUCUUAAUUAGCUCUAUCUGAUU